UAGGGAAUAUUGCAAAAUGGGCGAAAGCCCGAUGCAGCAACGCCGCGUGGGCGAUGAAGGCCUUCGGGUCGUAAAGCCCUUUUUGAGGGGAUGAGGAAGGACAGUACCCUCAGAAUAAGCCUCGGCUAACUACGUGCCAGCAGCCGCGGUAAAACGUAGGAGGCGAGCGUUAUCCGGAUUUACUGGGCGUAAAGCGCGUGCAGGCGGAUUGGAGAGUUGGAUGUGAAAGCUCCCGGCUUAACUGGGAGAGGUCGUUCAAUACUUCCAGUCUUGAGUGCAGUAGAGGGAAGUGGAAUUCUGGGUGUAGUGGUGAAAUGCGUAGAUAUCCGGAGGAACACCAGUGGCGAAAGCGGCUUCCUGGACUGUAACUGACGCUCAGACGCGAAAGCUAGGGUAGCAAACG
rnacentral:rRNA from 1 species